AAAAACAUUUCUAUUAAAAAUAAUUAAUAGUAUAAUCUGCUCAAUGAUUUAAUUCAAUAGCCGCAAUUCGUGCUAAGGUAGCAUAAUCAUUUGUCUUUUAAAUGAAGACUAGAACAAAAGAUUAAACAUUUCGAUAUAUUUACCUAAAAUAAAUUUCAAACUUAUCAUUGAUGUUAAAAGACAUCAAUUUUUAAGAAAGACGAUAAGACCCUAUUGAACUUAACUUCAGUUAAACUGGGGCAGUAAAUUAAUUAUUAUUUUAAUAAAAAUGUUUUUAUUAAAAUCCUUUAUAAUAGAUUAAUUCAGUUACCAUAGGGAUAACAGCGCAAUUAUUUUUUAGAGUUCUUAUCUUAAAAAUAGAUUACGACCUCGAUGUUGAAUUAAUAACCUAAUUUAAAGCAAGAUUUAAAAAAGGAAGUCUGUUCGACUUUUAAAAAAUUAC
rnacentral:rRNA from 1 species